AGGCUUCACCACACACAGGAGAGACAACACAACUUACAGGAGCCAAGUGGAGUGACCAUGGGACAAGGAAGGCCGACUCACCAAGGGUCAGAGAGCUGAAUGACAGGUAACAGUGGUCCAGAGUGUGGCAAGAAUAAGGGCGUGGCUCAGCUGACACUGACAUCAGCCCAGACAUCCUGCUUUCAGUUCUGGCCUCCGGAGCCAUGAAAGAGGAACCUUCUAGAACUGCCUCAGGAACCUAAUACAGAUCAGUCACCAAAUGGAAUGGAGGAAGCUAGUGACAACUGGAAGGAUCAUGCUUCAGUGCUCAGGGGGAGCUGCUUUACAAUUAGACUCUGGUCACAGCAGGAUACAGCAGAUUGAGUGAAGAUUUAUCAAGAGAGCUGAUAACCCAAUAGCUGGGCAGAAGAGAGAAUAGUUCCAUCAGCUAGUGGAAGAAGAGAGAGAGGAAGAGAGAGGCAGAUCUACCAUGGGGAGGAAGGAAGAAAGAAUUCUUGAGAGUUCAGCUAAAACAUGGACGACUUAAUUAUGACAGUGGCAUUUGUGAUUGUCAUUAGAAAAGCAGUCACACCUGAGAGAGUCACUGCAGGGAGGAUGACACUGAGCAGUGAUGUCAGCCGAUGCAGCAAAUGGUCCUGUACUGAGUCCCGGAAACAGGCUCUGAAAAGAAUCGCCACACGGUCAACUAUUUCCUGCUACAGGGUAGGUGACUUUUCAUGAGUGGUGUACCAGAUAACAAAGACCAGGAAGAGCUAGUUUCUGAACCUGGACACAGAGAAGAAUCUGUGUGGCGACUAGGCAGUAAACAAACACACGAAGCAUCUCUACCUACCAUGUAGAGAUACUGGCAAAAACCAAAAGACAAUAAAACAUCUCACAUGG